GCGGGAAUAGCUCAGUUGGUAGACCACGACCUUGCCAAGGUCGGGGUCGCGAGUUCGAGUCUCGUUUCCCGCUCCA
rnacentral:tRNA from 1 species